rnacentral:snRNA from 1 species
AUCGCUUCUCGGCCUUUUGGCUAAGAUCAAAGUGUAGUAUCUGUUCUUAUGAGCUUAAUAACUGAAAGUGUAUAUUUUGCCCAUCAUUAAUAGCACCAGUUUGUACCAGUGCUCGACAGAUCACUAAAGUUAAGCAAUGUGAUUAUUUUUAAUCUGGACUUG